AGUGAACGCUGGCGGUAGGCCUAACACAUGCAAGUCGAACGACAGCACAGUAAGAGCCUGCUCUUACGGGUGGCGAGUGGCGGACGGGUGAGGAAUACAUCGGAAUCUACUUUUUCGUGGGGGAUAACGUAGGGAAACUUACGCUAAUACCGCAUACGACCUACGGGUGAAAGCAGGGGAUCUUCGGACCUUGCGCGAUUGAAUGAGCCGAUGUCGGAUUAGCUAGUUGGCGGGGUAAAGGCCCACCAAGGCGACGAUCCGUAGCUGGUCUGAGAGGAUGAUCAGCCACACUGGAACUGAGACACGGUCCAGACUCCUACGGGAGGCAGCAGUGGGGAAUAUUGGACAAUGGGCGCAAGCCUGAUCCAGCCAUACCGCGUGGGUGAAGAAGGCCUUCGGGUUGUAAAGCCCUUUUGUUGGGAAAGAAAAGCAGCAGGUUAAUACCCCGCUGUUCUGACGGUACCCAAAGAAUAAGCACCGGCUAACUUCGUG
rnacentral:rRNA from 1 species